rnacentral:rRNA from 1 species
CAAAUCGUGGCAAACUAAGAAUACUAGAUCUCUAUUCCAUCAAUCAGUGAGACAGUGGGGGAUAAGCUCCAUUGUCAAGAGGGAAACAGCCCAGAUCACCAGCUAAGGCCCCAAAAUGAAAGCUAAGUGUCAAAGGAGGUGAGAGUGCAGAGACAACCAGGAGGUUUGCUUAGAAGCAGCCACCCUUUAAAGAGUGCGUAAUAGCUCACUGGUAAAGCGCCCUUGCGCCGACAAUGUAUGGGACUAAGUUAUCUGCCGAAGCUGUGGGAUAUUAAUAAAUAUUAAUAUCGGUAGGGGAGCGUUCUGUUGUAGGUUGAAGCGUGUUUGGAAAAAUAUGUGGACGAGACAGAAGUGAGAAUGUCGGCUUGAGUAACGAAAACAUUGGUUCAGAAUCCAAUGCCCCGAAAACCUAAGGGUUCCUUUACUAGGCUCGACCAUGAAGGGUUAGUCAGGUCCUAAGAUUAGGCCGAAAGGCGUCGUCGAUGGAAAACAGGUUAAUAUUCCUGUACUAAUAGUUAUUUGGACUGAGGGACGAAGGAGGGACUAGCACGCCAGAAUUGGAUCUGGUGAGAGGCGUUUGAGGUGAUGAGAGAUAGAAUAAAAACUGUUCUUGAGCUAAAUCGCGUUAUGUUUACUUCUUUGUACCAGAACUCGUUCUGGUAUGAAAGGUAAAUUGUGUAUAGUGUCAUACUUCCUAGAAAAGCUCGAGCUCCGUUAAGUGACAUAUUAUCUGUACCCGAAUCCGACACAGGUAGGUAGGUAGAGUAUACCAAGGGGAGCGAGAUAACUCUCUCUAAGGAACUCGGCAAAAUGGCCCCGUAACUUCGGAAGAAGGGGUGCCUCUUUAAAUGUAAAGAUAAGGAGGUCGCAGUGAGCAGGCCCAGGCGACUGUUUACCAAAAACACAAGUCUCCGCUAAGUCGUAAGACAAUGUAUGGGGGCUGACGCCUGCCCGGUGCUGGUAGGUCAAGGAAGUUGGUUAUUUUCCUUUUUAGGAAGAAAAGCUGACGACCGAAGCCCCAGUGAACGGCGGCCGUAACUAUGACGGUCCUAAGGUAGCGAAAUUCCUUGUCUGGUAAA